rnacentral:rRNA from 1 species
AUUGAACGCUGGCGGCAUGCUUUACACAUGCAAGUCGAACGGUAACAGGCCUUCGGGUGCUGACGAGUGGCGAACGGGUGAGUAAUGCAUCGGAACGUACCCAGAGGUGGGGGAUAACGCAGCGAAAGCUGUGCUAAUACCGCAUGUGAUCUGAGGAUGAAAGCGGGGGACCGAGCAGCAAUGUUUGGCCUCGCGCCUUUGAGCGGCCGAUGUCGGAUUAGCUAGUUGGUGGGGUAAAGGCCUACCAAGGCGACGAUCCGUAGCUGGUCUGAGAGGACGACCAGCCACACUGGGACUGAGACACGGCCCAGACUCCUACGGGAGGCAGCAGUGGGGAAUUUUGGACAAUGGGCGCAAGCCUGAUCCAGCAAUGCCGCGUGCGGGAAGAAGGCCUUCGGGUUGCAAACCGCUUUUGGCAGGAACGAAACGGUGUCCGCUAAUACCGGGCGCUAAUGACGGUACCUGCAGAAUAAGCACCGGCUAACUACGUG